GACGAACGCUGGCGGCGUGCUUAACACAUGCAAGUCGAACGGAAAGGCCUCCUUCGGGGGGUACUCGAGUGGCGAACGGGUGAGUAACACGUGAGUAACCUGCCCUUGACUUUGGGAUAACUUCAGGAAACUGGGGCUAAUACCGGAUAGGAGCUCCUGCUGCAUGGUGGGGGUUGGAAAGUUUCGGCGGUUGGGGAUGGACUCGCGGCUUAUCAGCUUGUUGGUGGGGUAGUGGCUUACCAAGGCUUUGACGGGUAGCCGGCCUGAGAGGGUGACCGGCCACAUUGGGACUGAGAUACGGCCCAGACUCCUACGGGAGGCAGCAGUGGGGAAUAUUGCACAAUGGGUGGAAGCCUGAUGCAGCAACGCCGUGUGCGGGAUGACGGCCUUCGGGUUGUAAACCGCUUUCGCUCAUGACGAAGCUUUGUGUGACGGUAGUGGGUAAAGAAGCACCGGCUAACUACGUG
rnacentral:rRNA from 1 species